rnacentral:rRNA from 1 species
CAGCCGCGGUAAUUCCAGCUCCAAUAGCGUAUAUUAAAGUUGUUGCAAGUUAAAAAGCUCGUAGUUGAAUUUCGGGGUUAGUAGGUUGGUCAUGCCUCUGGUAUGUACUGGUCUCACUGAUUCCUCCUUCCUGAUGAACCGUAAUGCCAUUAAUUUGAUUGUUGCGGGGAAAUUUGGACUGUUACUUUGAAAAAAUUGAGUGUUUAAAGCAGGCUAACGCUUGAAUACAUUAGCAUGGAAUAAUGAAAUAGGACGUUCGAUCCUAUUUUGUUGGUUUCUAGGAUUGACGUAAUGAUUAAUAGGGAUAGUUGGGGGCAUUAGUAUUCAAUUGUCAGAGGUGAAAUUCUUGGAUUUAUUGAAGACUAACUACUGCGAAAGCAUUUUGCCAAGGAUGUUUUCAUUAAAUUCAAGAACGAAAGUUAAGGGAGUCGAAGACGAUCAGAUACCGUCGUAGUCUUUACCCCAUAAACUAUGCCGACUAGGGGAUCGGAUGAUGUUAAUUUUUAUAAUGACUCAUUCGGCACCUUACGGGAAAC